AUAUAAAGAGAAUAUUAGUGGAGAGAAAAAUUAACAAGAUGAAACAUGAUCGAUAAAGCAACAUUAUCCGUUAUCCUGAUCGACUACCUUAGUGGUCACCUCUGAACAGUUCCAAUAGCUCCUAUAAUAUGUCCAAGUGUGAUCAUCAUAGUGCAUGACCUGUAGCAUGUGACUGAUCAGCCCACUUGACACCGAGUGAUAAUCCAACUUGCACCCUGAUCUUUCUCCUCUUUUGAAGAGCCUAAGACUAAAUAACCAAUCCCGCCCUACCAUCCUAGAAGAACUCUCCCAGAUCUCCUGAUCCAUCCAUCAAAGCCUUAAGUGAGCUUCUCUUUAUCAUCAUCCUUGAUUGUCCUGGUCAAGAGGAAUGACUCAUGUCCCUUAAUCUUAUCUCAGGGAUAGCAAGCGAGAUAAGGAGCAUGAACCUGCUUCUCUUCCUUCACUCUCUUCUUCAUCAUAGGACACAUCUGCAAGCAGAUCUGCAAGUCACCGAUCCAAAAGGUGAUCCGAUUAGGAGGAUAAGUUGCAUCAAAAGAUCUAGAAGGUGGACCACUACCUCGAGGUCCUUCACCGACACCAACUAGAUCCGAGGGAAGAGCCCUUGUUUACCACUCGCCCU
rnacentral:lncRNA from 1 species